GAGUUUGUGGUGUAAUGGUUACCAUGGAUGCUUUCCAAGCAUUCGACGGGGGUUCAACUCACCCAAACGCA
rnacentral:tRNA from 1 species